UACGGGAGGCAGCAGUGGGGAAUAUUGCACAAUGGGCGCAAGCCUGAUGCAGCCAUGCCGCGUGUAUGAAGAAGGCCUUCGGGUUGUAAAGUACUUUCAGUCGUGAGGAAGGUGUUAAGGUUAAUAACCUUAGCAAUUGACGUUAGCGACAGAAGAAGCACCGGCUAACUCCGUGCCAGCAGCCGCGGUAAUACGGAGGGUGCGAGCGUUAAUCGGAAUUACUGGGCGUAAAGGGCACGCAGGCGGUUAAUUAAGUUGGAUGUGAAAUCCCCGGGCUUAACCUGGGAAUGGCAUUCAAGACUGGUUAGCUAGAGUCUUGUAGGAGGGGGUAGAAUUCCAUGUGUAGCGGUGAAAUGCGUAGAGAUGUGGAGGAAUACCGGUGGCGAAGGCGGCCCCUGGACGAAAGACUGACGCUCAUGUGCGAAAGCGUGGGGAGCAAACAGGGAUUAGAUACC
rnacentral:rRNA from 1 species